rnacentral:rRNA from 1 species
UACGGAAGGCAGCAGUGGGGAAUAUUGCACAAUGGGCGCAAGCCUGAUGCAGCCAUGCCGCGUGUAUGAAGAAGGCCUUCGGGUUGUAAAGUACUUUCAGUCGUGAGGAAGGUGUUAAGGUUAAUAACCUUAGCAAUUGACGUUAGCGACAGAAGAAGCACCGGCUAACUCCGUGCCAGCAGCCGCGGUAAUACGGAGGGUGCGAGCGUUAAUCGGAAUUACUGGGCGUAAAGGGCACGCAGGCGGUUAAUUAAGUUGGAUGUGAAAUCCCCGGGCUUAACCUGGGAAUGGCAUUCAAGCUGGUUAGCUAGAGUCUUGUAGAGGGGGUAGAAUUCCAUGUGUAGCGGUGAAAUGCGUAGAGAUGUGGAGGAAUACCGGUGGCGAAGGCGGCCCCUGGACAAAGACUGACGCUCAUGUGCGAAGCGUGGGGAGCAAACGAGGGAUUAGAUACC